UACAGAGGGGGCAAGCGUUGUUCGGAAUUACUGGGCGUAAAGGGCGCGUAGGCGGCCUGCUAAGUCGAACGUGAAAUCCCUGGGCUCAACCCAGGAACUGCGUCCGAUACUGGUUGGCUUGAAUCCGGGAGAGGGAUGUGGAAUUCCAGGUGUAGCGGUGAAAUGCGUAGAUAUCUGGAGGAACGCCGGUGGCGAAGGCGACAUCCUGGACCGGUAUUGACGCUGAGGCGCGAAAGCCAGGGGAGCAAACGGG
rnacentral:rRNA from 1 species